rnacentral:rRNA from 1 species
GGGGGGACGUAUCGGAUUACUGGGCGUAAGCGCACGCAGGCGGUCUGUCAAGUCGGAUGUGAAAUCCCCGGGCUCAACCUGGGAACUGCAUUCGAAACUGGCAGGCUGGAGUCUUGUAGAGGGGGGUAGAAUUCCAGGUGUAGCGGUGAAAUGCGUAGAGAUCUGGAGGAAUACCGGUGGCGAAGGCGGCCCCCUGGACAAAGACUGACGCUCAGGUGCGAAAGCGUGGGGAGCAAACAGGAUUAGAUACCCUGGUAGUCCACGCCGUAAACGAUGUCGAUUUGGAGGUUGUGCCCUUGAGGCGUGGCUUCCGGAGCUAACGCGUUAAAUCGACCGCCUGGGGAGUACGGCCGCAAGGUUAAAACUCAAAUGAAUUGACGGGGGCCCGCACAAGCGGUGGAGCAUGUGGUUUAAUUCGAUGCAACGCGAAGAACCUUACCUGGUCUUGACAUCCACAGAACUUUCCAGAGAUGGAUUGGUGCCUUCGGGAACUGUGAGACAGGUGCUGCAUGGCUGUCGUCAGCUCGUGUUGUGAAAUGUUGGGUUAAGUCCCGCAACGAGCGCAACCCUUAUCCUUUGUUGCCAGCGGUUAGGCCGGGAACUCAAAGGAGACUGCCAGUGAUAAACUGGAGGAAGGUGGGGAUGACGUCAAGUCAUCAUGGCCCUUACGACCAGGGCUACACACGUGCUACAAUGGCGCAUACAAAGAGAAGCGACCUCGCGAGAGCAAGCGGACCUCAUAAAGUGCGUCGUAGUCCGGAUUGGAGUCUGCAACUCGACUCCAUGAAGUCGGAAUCGCUAGUAAUCGUAGAUCAGAAUGCUACGGUGAAUACGUUCCCGGGCCUUGUACACACCGCCCGUCACACCAUGGGAGUGGGUUGCAAAAGAAGUAGGUAGCUUAACCUUCGGGAGGGCGCUUACCACUUUGUGAUUCAUGACUGGGUGAGCACAAAAGGGGGGGGACAAAAACAAGGGGGAAAAAAAGAGGGGGCCCCCACGGGGGGAAAAAACUCUUUUGUGGGGGGUUAUAAA